rnacentral:lncRNA from 13 species
AUGUGGACAAAGGCUAUCAAAGCUAUGCUUUGGCUGUUACAUUUGUUUGCUGAAAGGGAAAUGUCUGCACGCAAUGAGGCAUCACCUGAGUUUUCCAUUCACUGCUGGCAAAAGGAGCUGACAGAGGCAGGCAAGCGACAGUCCUCUCACUCGCCACAGUCUAUUUUUAGGACUUACUUUAGAGUCCCUGACUUUUAGUCUUCAUUCAAGCCAAACAACCAUUAUCUUUAAUUGAAGCUGCUUCUACUGGAAGCCAAACAAUUGGUGGAGUCACUGAAGUAAAGAAAAAAAAUGCCAAGAUGAUUAUCUGGCAUUGUGAAGCCGUUGAUUCAAUUCUGCUUCAUUAAAGCCAUUAGAAGCAAACAGAUCCUGGAUUAUCUUUAAAUUUAGGCAUUUUUCAAUUGCUAUCUAUUCUGUCAAGGAAAUACCUUUAAUUGUAAAACUAUUAUCUUGUGGGAUAUAUAUAUAGAUUUUACUUUGGCAAACUGCAGCUAUUUCUUGUGCUUUAGAAAUAUGACAAUCUGUAUAUUAAAAAUUCAAAUGAAACCAUGAUUUUUCUAUCUUAAAAUGAAGGCAUUUUUUUUCCACAAUUUUUCACGAAGUGUAUUUGCAAACCUGAAAAUAUAUAUUAGCCUGAAUAGCUGACACACAGGUAAUAUUUGAAGAUUUUUACACAAAUAACUGAGUUGCUUAUUAUUACUGUAUGAAGAAGGAAAUGACUUACAAGUUUUUUACACACUGGAAAGUGAAAAUGGAAGGCCAUAUAUUAACAUUUUCUGAUAGCGACCAAAGGCCAUAUAUUUAUUUACAUUUUCUGAAAGAGACCAAAGGCCGUAUAUUCAUUUACAUUUUCUAAUAAAUACCAAAAUGUUCUGUGUGAUUCA